ACCUGAGCUGUAUGUCUUUGGACUCUGGAAACUUAAGCACCUGGAAGAGCCCCAUGCAAACCUGGUGACGGAACACAGCACCAUGGACAAGAUUCGCAGUCAUGACCUUCUUCCUUUGAGCAUGCACACUGAUGUGCCAUGGAGGCCAGUUGAAAGAGCCACAGUCUACAGCAGUAGCAAGGCCUGCCUGCAGACUCUGUGCUCUCAGUGGCACAUGGUGUGAAAACAGUGAAGAGCCAGUUCCCCUCCUCGCCCUGCUGCCUGCAUACAGCGCGGUUUAAUUUCAGCACCAUGGACAGAGUCCGUCAGUCUGGUACCCCUUGACAGCGUGAAGUUGAGAACGACUGGGUGCUGUGUUGUUUCAGUGCAUUUAAAAUUUGUCUCAACACAUAACACGUACUUAUCCUGUUGUACAUGCCAUUCCCUAAUAAACCG